UAGGCAGUUGGCGGGGUAACGGCCCACCAAACCAACGAUGGAUAGGGGUUCUGAGAGGAAGGUCCCCCACAUUGGAACUGAGACACGGUCCAAACUCCUACGGGAGGCAGCAGUGAGGAAUAUUGGUCAAUGGACGAGAGUCUGAACCAGCCAAGUAGCGUGAAGGAUGACUGCCCUAUGGGUUGUAAACUUCUUUUAUACGGGAAUAAAGUGAGCCACGUGUGGCUUUUUGUAUGUACCGUAUGAAUAAGGAUCGGCUAACUCCGUGCCAGCAGCCGCGGUAAUACGGAGGAUCCGAGCGUUAUCCGGAUUUAUUGGGUUUAAAGGGAGCGUAGGCGGGUUGUUAAGUCAGUUGUGAAAGUUUGCGGCUCAACCGUAAAAUUGCAGUUGAUACUGGCGACCUUGAGUGUAACAGAGGUAGGCGGAAUUCGUGGUGUAGCGGUGAAAUGCUUAGAUAUCACGAAGAACUCCGAUUGCGAAGGCAGCUUACUGGAUUGUAACUGACGCUGAUGCUCGAAAGUGUGGGUAUCAAACAGGAUUAGAUACCCUGGUAGUCCACACAGUAAACGAUGAAUACUCGCUGUUGGCGAUAUACAGUC
rnacentral:rRNA from 1 species